GUAGGUGAACCUGCGGAAGGAUCAUUACCUUUCAAUGCAGCAGAAUUGGGAUGGUUGAGUAUCUCGCCUCUCAGUUCUGCCUGUAUUCUACCCUUGUUUGUCAUAUACUAUUAUUUCCUCGGCAGGCUUGCCUGCCGAGUGAAACCAUUUAUAACCUUUUUAAUUUUCAAUCAGCGUCUGAAAAAAUUUAAUAAUUACAACUUUCAACAACGGAUCUCUUGGUUCUG
rnacentral:misc_RNA from 1 species